rnacentral:tRNA from 1 species
CUCCCUAGCUCAGUGGUAGAGCAUCCGCCUUGUAAGCGGAAGGUCGUCAGUUCAAUCCUGACGGGGG